UAUCACAAGAAUCUGUUCCUUUAUUCUGCAAUGACAGACCACAGAUGGCCUCACUGGAACCAUGUGGAAAGAGGCUCAGGGCUAUAGGUAGUUAGACCAAUGUGUAAAAACAAAGCACCAUGAUCAAUAACACCUCUUUCGAGACUUAAAAGUGAAACAUUAGAGGGAGGAAGUCCAUGCAGGACAGCCAAGCCGAAAGACUAAGCAAGGAUUGGAGCAGCAUCGGGUUCGCAGAAAAAGACAAAUCUACAAGAGUUGGCUAGAGAAAGCCACAGGCUCUGGUGCCUACACACUCUUCUUUGGACACAGUGUUCCCGCUUUGGCUCCAAGGUAAUAUCAUUCAUCUUGGAACACACUCUUUCACCGGAAAUGACAAGCAGAAAGUGGAUGUUUGUUUAUUUAAUGUUUACAGGUGUUAUAUAUGCCAAAUUUUUGCCAGGAAGAAGUUAAGUGGUCAGAGAGUGGCUGUAGCUCUGUCUCCCACACCUCACUUGUCUGCAGUGGCAUCCUCAAGAAUAGAAAGCCUUGAUUUCCUACUGUUGUUCCCAUCCACAUUUUGGUGUUUACUUCUAGUCUUGACUAUUGUUUUCUAGAAGAUUUGCUCAAUUAAAAAUUAAUAAAAAAUGAUGGGUCUGGAAAGAUGACUAGUGCUUGUCAUUCAAGUAUGAAAACCAAGGUUUUAGUUCCCAGAAUCCAUGUAAAGCCAAGCACAA
rnacentral:lncRNA from 1 species